CAAGGAGUUGGAAGCCUUUAGUCAUUGCAACCUUGAAGCUCAAGUCUUCUGCUCAUUCCGUGCUCUGAGCAGCUUUAUCAUGCGGUUAGAGAAAUGCAAGACCUGGCAGUGUCAGGAUUACAUGCCAAAGGAGUGGAGCAGAGUGUGAGCAUCAAGCCUCCAGCUCUCCUGGUGCCCUGAGAAGAAAAGGUGCUCAGUUUGCCGACUGGUAAUCACCAAGUUGGCAUGACUGCCCCAAAAGGGGAACUUGCUGAUGGCAGUUGCUUGCUGCUACUUGCUUAGCAGGUUCCAGCAAAGCAACUGUCCUUAUCGGACCAUGAGAUGUGACUUGGUCUCCCGUGAACAGAUGUGUUCCUCUGGAAAUCAUCUCGAAUUUUGGCUAACAGGGAGGAUGAUCAAAAUAACAUGGGGUUAUAAUUCCAUCUGUGGUAUAGUUAUAGAAUAAAUUUUCAGUCUGUAAAGGGAAGGGUCUAUGCUGAGGGCUAUCUAGUAAGCAAUAUGAAGCUAAAGAUAAUACACC